AUGAAACUAUGAACUCAGUCCGAGACCAAGAAGCAGUCAGGCAGCAUAGCCAGUAACCGGCAAGCAACCAGGAAGGCAGGUUCUGCGUCUUUCACUUCACCUUCAGGACAAAUGCAACUGGGGACACUGAAGACUGCUGCUGCUUUGAAGAGAGGAGAGAAUCUGCACAACUUGUCAGCCAUUAGCAAGGAAGAAUGAACCACAACAGACAUCUUGGCCAUCAUUACAAAUAAGGUUUAAGACAGCGAGAUGAGAUGUGCAGUUCUCCUCCUUGCAGUUUCCCUACAGCUUCAUCAUGCAUAUUAAGGAUUAUUAUAUUCUUGAUACAUGGAUACUAUAGUCUGCUGUUCAGCAAGCCAAGACUGCCUAGGCACAGAUUGCACCUUUUAACAUAUACUACAAGAGACUCAAUGCUACUACCUCAGACCAAGGGACUGUUUAUGAAGAGAUCUCAACUCAAAGGAGGAGGAGACUUGGCCAUGAAGUUAAUUACUGAAUUGAGCUGAAACAUCCUUAUCUCUAUUUCAAGAGGAAUGUUACUCGGACCAAAAAGUAGCAAUAGUGGGUAUCCCCCUCAAGCCCCAUCUCAUGGUACCCUUGAGCAACCCCAUCACUGAUGAAGAGCAGAUACAACAGGGACCAUGCGCAAACUAGGGUCACUGUUGAGCAGACCAACAGGAUGGUGACUAGUCGUUUCAGGUGCCUGAACUCUUCUGUAGGUAUCUUUCAAUACAAACCCAUCAAGUGUGUGAAAAUACUUAAUGUUUGCCUGCUCCUACACAACCGCUGCAUCAAGCAGGAUAUUCCUGUUCCUGAUGAAGUAUGUACUUGUCACUAUUUCUCUGGUAAUUGACAGGAUAUAUGAAUAUCAUGGAAAUUAGAUGUAACCGAGUACAGUCAUGAGUGUUGUUACACUUGUUGUUAGGGUAAUGAAGUUUGUCAGAUGUGUACCAACAUUUAACAAAAAUAAACAUGUUUUUCCCCUACAAAGGUGUCUUUAAGGCAUGCAUUAUGGUUUGGGCUUGUUUUGGAUCGUCAAAAUGCUAAAUGUCACACUACAUCACUAUUCCUCUCAUACAAUAUAAACUUUAAACAAAUGGAAGGGUUAGAUUCCAACACCUAAAUCUCUCAGACGCUCACAAAA